CACAUCUGUUAAAAGAUAA
rnacentral:snRNA from 1 species